rnacentral:lncRNA from 1 species
CCAAACCUUCAGAUAAAUCAGAGCACGAGAAAUAUCGUCGUGCAUCUGGAGAUGGGCAUGCAGAUGAUUUUCACUCUGUAGAAGAAGGGGAAGUCGAACCAUUCGAUGAUGUCGACAGGGGAUAUCAGUCAGUCACCGAGGUCAGCCGCUCGUAAGAGGAAGGCCAUUAGCCCCUUGGACAAGAAAAUGGACGGAAAGCUGCGAAAUGAUUACAUGACAGGGUCUUGUACUCUCAACAAUGACUGACCGGGCAAGUUUCUAUAUAUCGAAAGAAAAGGAUAGGACUUCUUUUUCAGUUCAGUCAUUGGUAUUGAUUGCCAUAUCUGGUCUUCUCUUCUCAUUUUAAGUUCAGAAAUAUUUGUUUAGGAUCCAUGUGCUGUAAUGAUCCAAGUUGUUGGACAUAUUUGAAAAUGAUUAAAAGAAAAAAUUACAAAAUAUUAGUUUCGGGGGUCUUGGAAUAAUUAUCAUUACAUAGAUUACAUCCAACAACUAAAUGUCGACAUUACAUAGAUUUUCCCAGUAACUUCCGUCAAAACUUUUUUAAUAUACUCCUUAAAUGUCGAGAAAGGUUUAUGUAUGACAAAUCUAGAUCUGUUGUGAUGCAAAUAAACGCUUGACUAUGAUUACGAACGGUAUCUAUGAAACAAAUGUCAAGUGUGUUUGAUAACUUCGAUCAAUGGAAUGUACCUGAUCGGCUCGUGCUU